rnacentral:tRNA from 1 species
CGGAUCGAAGUUCGUUUGCAAACUAUCUGAUUGAAAUUCGGAAUUCUGUCCGGUUUUGGGUACCGUAGGCCGGAGGUUCGAAUCCUCUCGCCCCGACCA